CCUACGGGUGGCAGCAGUGAGGAAUAUUGGUCAAUGGUCGCGAGACUGAACCAGCCAAGUCGCGUGAAGGAUGAAGGCACUGAGGAUCGUAAACCUCUUUUGUAAAGGAAUAAAGGAGGGCACGUGUCCCUUGUUGUAUGUACUUGAAGAAUAAGGAUCGGCUAACUCCGUGCCAGCAGCCGCGGUAAUACGGAGGAUCCGAGCGUUAUCCGGAUUUAUUGGGUUUAAAGGGAGCGCAGAUGGGUUGGUAAGUCAGUUGUGAAAGGUUGCGGCUCAACCGUCAACUGGCGAGUGAUACUGGCAGCCUCGAGUAGAGUUGAGGUAUGCGGAAUUCGCGGUGUAGCGGUGAAAUGCUUAGAUAUCACGAAGAACUCCGAUUGCGAAGGCAGCCU
rnacentral:rRNA from 1 species